AACGAACGCUGGCGACAUGCCUAACACAUGCAAGUCGAACGAGAUCUUCGGGUCUAGUGGCGCACGGGUGCGUAACGCGUGGGAAUCUGCCCUUUGGUUCGGAAUAACAGUUGGAAACGACUGCUAAUACCGGAUGAUGACGAAAGUCCAAAGAUUUAUCGCCAGAGGAUGAGCCCGCGUAGGAUUAGCUAGUUGGUGUGGUAGAGGCGCACCAAGGCGACGAUCCUUAGCUGGUCUGAGAGGAUGAUCAGCCACACUGGGACUGAGACACGGCCCAGACUCCUACGGGAGGCAGCAGUGGGGAAUAUUGGACAAUGGGCGAAAGCCUGAUCCAGCAAUGCCGCGUGAGUGAUGAAGGCCUUAGGGUUGUAAAGCUCUUUUACCCGGGAUGAUAAUGACAGUACCGGGAGAAUAAGCUCCGGCUAACUCCGUGCCAGCAGCGCCGUAA
rnacentral:rRNA from 1 species